GCAGCCGCCGCGGGAAUACAGAGGGUGCGAGCGUUAAUCGGAUUUACUGGGCGUAAAGCGUGCGUAGGCGGCUUUUUAAGUCGGAUGUGAAAUCCCUGAGCUUAACUUAGGAAUUGCAUUCGAUACUGGGAAGCUAGAGUAUGGGAGAGGAUGGUAGAAUUCCAGGUGUAGCGGUGAAAUGCGUAGAGAUCUGGAGGAAUACCGAUGGCGAAGGCAGCCAUCUGGCCUAAUACUGACGCUGAGGUACGAAAGCAUGGGGAGCAAACAGGAUUAGAUACCCGGGUAGUCCCUGUCUCUUAUAC
rnacentral:rRNA from 1 species